ACCCUCUCAGGGUUGCAUCUGGAGAGUUUCCAGUACUCUACCAGUCACGACUACGGGGGGAGAGUCAAGCAGAGGCCUACCCAUUCCAUUCCUAGCUUGGGCAGUGGCUAGUGAGUGGAAGGCAAUCUGCUACAAGU
rnacentral:snoRNA from 2 species